rnacentral:rRNA from 1 species
CCCGUACCGAAACCGACACAGGUAGGCAGGAUGAGAAUUCUAAGGUGCGCGGGAAAACCCUCGUUAAGGAACUCGGCAAAAUAUAUCCGUAACUUCGGGAAAAGGAUAACCCAGCGUACGUGAAGUGCAGAAACGCAUGGAGCGGAGAUGGGUGGCAGAAGAGAGGCCCAAGCGACUGUUUACCACAAACACAGGCGUCUGCUAAAGCGAAAGCUGAUGUAUAGAUGCUGACACCUGCCCGGUGCUGGAAGGUUAAGAGGAAGUGUUAGCGCAAGCGAAGCAGUGAAUUGAAGCCCCAGUAAACGGCGGCCGUAACUAUAACGGUCCUAAGGUAGCGAAAUUCCUUGUCGGSURACUGA